rnacentral:rRNA from 1 species
GUGGGGAAUAUUGGACAAUGGGGGCAACCCUGAUCCAGCCAUGCCGCGUGAGUGAUGACGGCCUUAGGGUUGUAAAGCUCUUUUCUCCGGGACGAUAAUGACGGUACCGGAGGAAUAAGCCCCGGCUAACUUCGUGCCAGCAGCCGCGGUAAUACGAAGGGGGCUAGCGUUGCUCGGAAUCACUGGGCGUAAAGGGCGCGUAGGCGGCUGAUUUAGUCGAGGGUGAAAGCCCGUGGCUCAACCACGGAAUGGCCUUCGAUACUGAUUGGCUUGAGACCGGAAGAGGACAGCGGAACUGCGAGUGUAGAGGUGAAAUUCGUAGAUAUUCGCAAGAACACCAGUGGCGAAGGCGGCUGUCUGGUCCGGUUCUGACGCUGAGGCGCGAAAGCGUGGGGAGCAAACAGGAUUAGAAACCCUAGUAGUCC